CCUACGGGAGGCAGCAGUGGGGAAUAUUGCACAAUGGGGGAAACCCUGAUGCAGCGACGCCGCGUGAGUGAAGAAGUAUUUCGGUAUGUAAAGCUCUAUCAGCAGGGAAGAAAAUGACGGUACCUGAUUAAGAAGCACCGGCUAACUACGUGCCAGCAGCCGCGGUAAUACGUAGGGGGCAAGCGUUACCCGGAUUUACUGGGUGUAAAGGGAGCGUAGACGGCAGAGCAAGUCUGAAGUGAAAUGCCGGGGCUUAACCCCGGAACUGCUUUGGAAACUGUGCAGCUAGAGUGCAGGAGAGGUAGGUGGAAUUCCUGGUGUAGCGGUAAAAUGCGUAGAGAUUAAGAGGAACACUAGUGGCGAAGGCGACUUGCUGGACUGUAACUGACGUUGAGGCUCGAAAGCGUGGGGAGCAAACAGGAUUAGAUACCCCUGUAGUC
rnacentral:rRNA from 1 species